GACGAACGCUGGCGGCGCGCUUAACACAUGCAAGUCGAACGGAAAGGCCUGCUUUCCCUUGUGGAUUGCGGGUACUCGAGUGGCGAACGGGUGAGUAACACGUGAGUGAUCUGCCCCCAACUUGGGUAUAAGCCUGGGAAACUAGGUCUAAUUCCCGAUAGGACUGCAGGGUGGUGCCUGUGGUGGAAAACGAUUUUCUAGUGGUUGGGGAUGAGCUCGCGGCCUAUCAGCUUGUUGGUGGGGUAAUGGCCUACCAAGGCGGCGACGGGUAGCCGGCCUGAGAGGGUGGACGGCCACAUUGGGACUGAGAUACGGCCCAGACUCCUACGGGAGGCAGCAGUGGGGAAUAUUGCACAAUGGGCGGAAGCCUGAUGCAGCGACGCCGCGUGGGGGAUGACGGCCUUCGGGUUGUAAACUCCUUUCGACCGCGAGGAAGCCACCUGGUUGGAAGGGUGGUGACGGUAGUGGUAGAAGAAGCACCGGCUAACUACGUG
rnacentral:rRNA from 1 species